UACAGAGGUUUCAAGCGUUGUUCGGAUUCAUUGGGCGUAAAGGGUGUGUAGGUGGCGCGCUAAGUCGGGUGUGAAAUUUCGGAGCUUAACUCCGAAACUGCAUUCGAUACUGGCGUGCUUGAGGACUGGAGAGGAGACUGGAAUUCAUGGUGUAGCAGUGAAAUGCGUAGAGAUCAUGAGGAAGACCAGUGGCGAAGGCGGGUCUCUGGACAGUUCCUGACACUGAGACACGAAGGCCAGGGGAGCAAACGGG
rnacentral:rRNA from 1 species